UACGUAGGCAGCAAGCGUUGUUCGGAGUUACUGGGCGUAAAGAGUAUGUAGGCGGUGUCCUAAGUUCGGUGUGAAAUCUCCCGGCUCAACUGGGAGGGUGCGCCGAAGACUGGGAUGCUGGAGUCUCGGAGAGGAACGCGGAAUUCCUGGUGUAGCGGUGAAAUUCGUAGAUAUUGGGAAGAACACCGGUGGCGAAGGCGGCUCUCUGGACCGAUACUGACGCUGAGGCGCGAAAGCGUGGGGAGCAAACAGG
rnacentral:rRNA from 1 species